rnacentral:rRNA from 1 species
UGGGGAAUAUUGCACAAUGGGCGCAAGCCUGAUGCAGCAACGCCGCGUGCGGGAAGAAGGCCCUAGGGUUGUAAACCGCUUUCAGCAGGGAAGAAAAUGACGGUACCUGCAGAAGAAGGUGCGGCCAACUACGUGCCAGCAGCCGCGGUGACACGUAGGCACCAAGCGUUGUCCGGAUUUAUUGGGCGUAAAGAGCUCGUAGGCGGUUCAGUAAGUCGGGUGUGAAAACUCUGGGCUCAACCCAGAGAGGCCACCCGAUACUGCUGUGACUUGAGUACGGUAGGGGAGCGGGGAAUUCCUGGUGUAGCGGUGAAAUGCGCAGAUAUCAGGAGGAACACCAGUGGCGAAGGCGCCGCUCUGGGCCGUAACUGACGCUGAGGAGCGAAAGCAUGGGUAGCAAACAGGAUUAGAUACCCUGGUAGUCCAUGCCGUAAACGUUGGGCACUAGGUGUGGGUCUCAACCAACGAGAUCCGCGCCGUCGCUAACGCAUUAAGUGCCCCGCCUGGGGAGUACGGUCGCAAGACUAAAACUCAAAUGAAUUGA